rnacentral:rRNA from 1 species
GAUGAACGCUGACAGAAUGCUUAACACAUGCAAGUCUACUUGAAUUUGGGUUUUUUAACUUAGAUUUGGGUGGCGGACGGGUGAGUAACGCGUAAAGAACUUGCCUCACAGUUAGGGACAACAUUUGGAAACGAAUGCUAAUACCUGAUAUUAUGAAUAUAUGGCAUCAUAUAAUUAUGAAAGCUAUAAGCGCUGUGAGAGAGCUUUGCGUCCCAUUAGCUAGUUGGAGAGGUAACGGCUCACCAAGGCGAUGAUGGGUAGCCGGCCUGAGAGGGUGAACGGCCACAAGGGGACUGAGACACGGCCCUUACUCCUACGGGAGGCAACAGUGGGGAAUAGUGGACAAUGGACCAAGAGUCUGAUCCAGCAAUUCUGUGUGCACGAUGACGUUUUUCGGAAUGUAAAGUGCUUUCAGUUGGGAAGAAAAAAAUGACGGUACCAACAGAAGAAGUGACGGCUAAAUACGUG